CGCCCGUUUCGGGUCGGUUCCUUGGCCGAGGGGUCCUGUCAUCAUGGGUAGUGGAUGGGGUUGGAUGAAGCAAUAUCCGGGAUCCGUGGGCAUCAAUACAUCGAUUCUACCGCUGCUUUUGGUGCUUCUAUCGCCAUUUUAUGACCAUCGACGAUGGGAUCGGGGUCGUUUAUCGAGCAUUACAGUGAUCUCUGGCGGCCAUAUAAUGGCCUCAUGAAUAGAUAGCAUAACCCUUCAUGCUAUGAAGUAAAAGCGGAGAUAAACCUUAAUCUGAUGGCUUGCACGGUAGUCAUCAUUUCACAUGAUUGUCAUCGUUGCAUUUUAAAAUAUAAUAUAAUUUUUUAUUUUUAAAGGCGGUCCUUUUCUUUCCCCCGACCGAUGACUCGCUUGUUCAGUACUGCUAACUAUUAUAGUAUAGGAGGAUGCCGUCCCGUCCCCUCGGGACUACCAGUAGUUUCGGUUGUUGAAUCUCGUGCAAGUUAGGUUGUGCUUGUAUUGGCUGCAAGCGGAACGUAGGCGCUUUAGGUAGGUGUGUGUUGACCAUGCACUCUCGCGUCAUGUAAUGUCGUAUGUAUGAUAGAGGUGGUGUGG